UACAUCAGUAUACGGGCCCACGUGAUGGGCAAAAAAAAUCUUGAUCUCGAUGUUUCUUCUCCGACCGGCCAUCUUGCAUCUUCCUGGCCUCGAGAUAGAGAUCCAAGGACAGUGGAGCCGCCGCCACGCCGGCGAGGUGCAGGAACUGGGGAGGUCUCGGAGGCGGCGUGACCGGGGUGCCGGUGCGAGCGCAGUGGUGGCGCCGGCGGCCGGCGGAUAAGGAGGCGGCCGCAUACGACUUCGACGCGGACCGCAGACCAGCGCUAAUCUCGUCGGGGCCUCCGACCAGCUCUAGUGUCGCCGGGGGCCGCCGCGAUGAAGCCUCUCGACCGCGGCGGGGAAGCGGUUGGUGGAAUCUUCCUCGGCGUUGACCUCACGAAGCCGGCCGGCCGCCCGGCACGUUGUCUCCCUCGGCGCACUAAGGGGCGUGGGGCUCAUGGUGUGCUUCCAGUUUAAGCUCUGGUGGAUGGCGCAACGGAUAGGCGAGGAGUAUGCAGGUGUUAUCGGUAUCGAUUUCAACAAAGAUCGAUUACUGGAUCUUAACGAAGAUAUGAUGCAAUCAGAGCAGCAAGCCUUGGAUGCGCCAGCAACGAAAGAGGAUUUGGAAACGGGCUCACUGGGCCAACAAGACGGAAUGGGAAGUGAAUCAAGCAAACCAUAUGGGGGGCAGAACAAAUUGUCCGUAUACGUGCAGAGGAACGGCGAUGACGACUAAACGGCAGCCAGAUCUCGUGCAUUGUGUUGAAUCUUGCUUAGCAAAGCUGCUGCGGCUGGAUCUGGCAUCCAGGCCAAGUGCUCCAUGUGUUCACGCUGCACUGAAGCUCGAGCUCCUGCCUCUGGGUGCGCAAGCUGCAGUGCUUCCUUGAGGGAGCAUCACUUGUUCCUGUGCAUUGCCUCAAUAAGCAGUAACUGGUGGAGGGCGAUGCUAGGCAUCACAGCACAAUGCCGGCCAAGAGUUGGAUCAAGUCAGGUGCGCAAGGGAAGCACUCGACCUCUCAUCUAGCCCAACCUGCAGUCGUCCACAUAUGUCAUAGAGCAAAGAGCACGUGUGUAACAAUUACUAUUAUUUCAUGUUUGAUAACAUAUUUGCGUCACCCGCAAAUUUUGGUAAAUAUCUUUUGCAUAGAUAUUGAUUAAAAUAUAAUUAAAUAUUUUUAGCAUCCAAAAAUAUAUGUGCAUCUUGAACAAAUAAUAUCUCAAAUCGUGUGAUGCACAAAUAGUUGUGCAUGACCUCAUGUAAUUAGUUGUACGUGUUAGUGUACCAAAUAAUUGAUUGGAUGAUGCUCUCAAUUUCUUGCAAAAA